AUGACGGAGCAGCUUGCUUCCAUGCCGGAGGAGAGCACCAUCGGCUUCACAGCUCCCUGCCGGCCGCGCACUUCCUACCACGAGUUGAUCCAGGCAGUCCCCGUCUCCGGAUCGCCGAUAAGAUGGAGUCUCCCCAACUCUCAGUCCGGCCGUAACGGAUUAUCCAGCUACUCAAGCUCAGGUGCCUCGAAUUCUUGUCCGUCCAACAACUCCGGCAAUUCCAGCGGAACCAUUUCGGUGUCCGCCGCCAUUGUCGACAAUGGUGAGCUCACGCGGAUCGCUCACCAAAUGGUCAACGACGGAUACAUCUGGCACACGGUCCAAGCAUUCGACGACGCCUCAUCUGCACCGGCGGCAUUCAAACAUGGUGGUGGUGUCCGGGGCCAUGCCCUGGAGAAUUGGUUCUUGGAGCUCGACAUCGACUGGGUUCUCCAAAUCGAUGACGAGCAUGGCUUACGACGGCUGCUCCGAGACAAGCCGGUCACGACGCAAGAAUUGAUCGACAAGUGGGUCCGGGCUCUUACCGUGAUUGUUGCCAGUAUCACUGAGACAGAGUACGAAUUCGCCUUCCACAGGACGCCGGCAGUCGCACUGUUUGGCAAAGCGAGCAUCACCGAGAUGCUCAAUGUCGUCGAUGUCAUCGUCACUGCUCUCGAAGCCAAGAAGCUGCAGGCCGUGCUUGACAUGUUUACCUGCGUAUGUGGUACGUCGCACAUGAUUAGGCCGGUCAUGAUCUCUCGAGAAGCCCAAAGCAUUUUCAAAGAGUUAGGCAACUCGUUAGAGAGAGAAGGAAUCAGGCUAAGCGAGAUCAUAUCAAACAGCACCAAGGAGGUGAGGACACUCGUGGAGGAAGAUGAUUCAUGGGCUAUCGAGAUCCUGCGAGGAAGAGGAGAGGUUCACAAGAACACUCGGUUCAUCAUGGAUUGCAUAGUAUCCAUGACGAUUGCACGAACAUCAAUGCACAACUCUGCACCGAGCAACAACAGUGAAAACCUUGAUGGCCUGAUCGAUAUCGAGUAUCUGGAGGAUCUGCUUCUGAGAAAAUCAUGGUUGCUCUUAGAUCCAAGCCUCAGGUACUUGUUCCUGCUCAAUAAUUCCUAUUUCGUAGCUCAUGUAGUCUCUGAGUCAUCAGGAUCGUUCAUUCCUGAUGAUCCGUGGGACCUCACACCUAAACUUACGCCUGAAUGUAAGAAGUACAUGGAUAGUUAUCUCGAUUUUUCUUGGGGACAUGUGCUCUCCUGCAUACCAAAAUCGAGAUCUCUUGGAUUGAUCCAUCGUUUGGUCAAUACCCCUUCACUGGCCAAAUUCCAGUCAGCAUUUCACGAAACGUAUCAGGCUCAGAAGUUCUGGAAGGUUCCAGACCCUCGGCUCAGAGAAGCGCUGCGGAGAGCUAUCAUUGAGAGAGUCAUUACUGGUUACCGUAACUACCUGGAGGAGCAUCCGGAGCUAGAGAAACAUGUUGGCCGCCAAAGCAGCAGUCCUCAAGUUUUGGAGGAGAUGUUGGGAGAGCUAUAUGAAGGAUGA
rnacentral:rRNA from 1 species